AUUAUUAGGGCUCCGAAAGAUCUAUUAUAUUAUAUUUAUUAUUUUUAUUAUUAUUGUUAUUAACAUUAUCAUCUUCAUCAUUUGCUUUAAGAAUUAAGACCAAAAAGGCGACAAAAUUCAGCUGAUUGGAAAGCAAAAGAUUUGUAUCCUGAUGAGAAAAUGGAUCGAGCCAGUAUCUCACACAAGUUUCAUUCACCAAUCUGUAAACAUUAGCUUCAUAUCUUCAAACUUCAUUUAACCAAGAGACUAAGCAAUUGACUUUACCAUUGACUUAGACUGGACAUACGCACUUUUAAAAAUGGCUAAUCUAAUGAUAAUCAUUGAGGAUCAAACAUACGAUCAGGACAAUUGGGAAGUUACAUAAAUAAGUAAAAAAUGGUUACAUAACAGCGAUAACACGAAAAAAAGGACAACUUCAACAGCAUGGUCAUUGUAUUUGGUGCUAAAGUAGUAAAAAGUGAAACAAUAAAAUCAAAUGUUUUCCAAAAGGGUAAAAAAAUCCGAGAAAAGGAGAGACAACAUUUGACCUGAAAAUGACCUGAUCUUACUGUACUGAUAACGGGCUCAACUGGGAUACACGAGAAGAAAAAAAUGUGAACAAAUGCUGUUUGAUAAGAAGAUAUAGCCUUUUCCAGGAUUUGGGUCAACUAUAUUUAUUUGGAUAUUGAAAAAAAAAAUCGAGAGAGUGAAAGGCAUCUUCACCAGUAUACAAUAACGUCAACAACAGUAAUAUGUUAAAAAAAGAUAUAAAGACUUUGAUCUAGACCCAGGGAAAGCUGAAGAUAAAGAUGACACAAGAAAAGGCAAAAGAUGGCCAGCUAACCGAACUAGAGAAAAAAAUUUCUAAAGUAAAAGAAGUUCAGGGAUUCAUAUUAAAACCUUGGCCCCCCUCCUUGUUAUAUUGUGUUGGGUGUUAAAGAUGAUAAAGAACAUGAGACCACAGUGAUAACCACCCCCAAGAAGAAGCCCCUUGACAUUACCUUGCCUUUUGGAAGAAGCUUGCAGUCCAAAGUAGAGAAAAAUAUUACUCACUUUGCUUCAAUGAAGCCUCAUCAUCAUUAUCAUCACCAUCAUCAUCUUUAAUAGUAACUCAAACGUCUUACGUCUUACGUCUUUCUUAAAAUAUUUUCCCACGGCCUCUUUGCCUCCUCCAUCUAUAGCUUGUUUCAUCCAUUCUUUUUCCAUUUCUCUCUCUCUCUCUCUCUCUCUCUCUCUCUCUCUCUCUCUCUCUCUCUCUCACUUUUCACGCGUAACAUUUUCUUAUGAUUUAAUAUCAUCUUAACUACUACAAUUACUAUUACUAUUUGCCACCAACAUACACACACAUGGAGAAAGAGAGACAAAGUUAAAAGUCUUACCUUGGCCCAGUCAAAAAUCUCUGCCCAGGCCCUUAAAAGAUCAUUUUACAAGAUUCAAACUUGUUGUUAUAACAAAAAAAGUUACAACUGGUUCAAAUUUAAUCAUAUCAUGGUUCAAUUUAAAUGGGCAAAUCUGAUGAAUCUUGAACGUUUCCAUUCUAAUUUAAUUACAGCUACAGCUAUUGUUGAAAGCAAUUAAAGAUGUCGUAUUAAAUUUUAUAAGAAGCGCUGGAUUGAUGAAAAUUGUUUGGACAAUUGAGCAAAAUGUUGAUCCAAUAUAUUUGGAAAGAGGGAAAAUACCUGGCUAUUUGCAGCUCUAAUUAACUUAAUCAUUCAAGACUCAAUACACUGAAUAAUUAUCCAACAAGUAAAAUCAAUUUUCAUGAGCAAUUGGAUUAAUUUGCUAAAUUCAAACUAUUUUAUAAGCUGUUGAAGCUGUUUUUUUAAACUCUCAAAAUGACAACCUUGUUGGACUAAAAAAGCAAUGGCAUAUAACAAUCAAGUAAACAAAUCAAAUUAAGCAAAUAACAUAAACACGUGAUGGUCAAAUAGUGAAAAUCAAAGGGGAAUUAACUGUUCUGACAGUUAAUGGAGAUUAGUCUGGAAACUCGGCAUUCAGGAUCAACAUAAACUUGGAUUGAUGAUAACAAUUUGAUUAUGGAAACAAAUUUAGAUCUUGACAAAAAAAGCAACUUCGAUAAAGCCAGAGAUUGAUUGAGCCCAAGUGAGCAAUUGAAAUUGCUGUCGAGAAACAAAUAUUCAAAGUAACAUUCAACCUUUCCAUUGGCUCAUUUUUUGGCAAAAGGAGGAGUUUAAAUGGUUCCUUGGGCCAAUUGUAAGCUACAAUUUGGGAGGAUUAUAAUGAUAAUAAUAAUAAUAAUCACCAUCAUCAUCAUAAUGAUACACUUGAAAUGAUAAUCAUUUUGAAGGUUCAACAUGAAACAGUGAAGAUAACCUCUUUUGUCUGGCGAUUUGCUUGAAGAGCUUUUUUGUUUUUCAAUCGUUUUAUAAUCAUUGCAAUGAUAAACAAACUGGAGUUACUAAUAGUGAUCAUGUUUGAAGUCAAUUUGAGUUUUUAAUUUAAUUGUCUGAAAUGUUGAACAAUAAGUGAAUUUAUCAAUCUUGGGUAAUUUGAAACUAGCUUCAAAAAAAUGGACUUGUCAAACUGGUUGCUGUUAAUUUUCAACUAAUCCAUCUUAUUCCUGAUUUUUAAUAAUUUUUUGAAAACUUUCAACUUAAAUCACAAUCAAAACCACAAAAUGAUUCAAAAUUUCAAGGUUAUCUUCUGCUUCCUCUGUUUUUCCUCCUCUUCCUCUUGCACUUUAUAACAUUCAAUUUUACUUUUUAACUGUAACUUUACAGCUUUUUUUGCAUUCAAUAUUUUGUCUUGAACAAUGUAAUAUUAUCACCAUUGAAUUGUUAACAAAAAUCAAAUUUGAAUGUCAAAACAGGCUUUUCAAAGAUUGUUAUGAAAUUGAUUGAUUUAAACCAUCGAUAAUGUAACUUUUAAAUUGAAAGAAUCAAGGAAUUGCCUUUCCUAUCGUUAUUUUUGUUUAUUUGUACCUUUGUUGACUUUUUUGAUGGGAAACAACUUGAUUAGUCCAACGGGAAUAUGGUUAAUCAACUUAUUGUUAAUAUUCUUUCAAUAGCACUGUUAUUACCUUGAUAUUGAGUAACCAAGCUUUUAACCAACUGGACUAAUCAAUCAAUUCAAACACAAAUUUUGAUCAACUUUCUCAUAUUCACUGUGAACCAUUCAUUCAAUGAAAGUUUUGUUUAACUCAUUUCUUCAACCAAUAUUCAUCCAAUUUCAAACUAAUUACAUUUUGUGAUUUUAAA